AGCAACUCUGAUGUAGUCUCCAUCAACUGCCAUGUGCGGCUGGCCCCCAACCAGGAAAUCAAUUUCCAUCUGCUGGGGAACCUGUGGUUGCGGUCCCUGAAGGCACUCAAGUACAAGCUGAUGAAAAUCACGGUCCACGCAGCCGUGCAGAGGCAGUUCCACAGUCCUUUCAUCUUCCGAGAGGAGGAUCCCAGCCGCCAGAUCACAUUUGAGAUCUCCAAGCAAGAAGACUGGCAGAUCCCCAUCUGGAUCAUUGUGGGCAGCACACUGGGGGGCCUCCUGCUGCUGGCCCUGCUGGUCCUGGC